rnacentral:rRNA from 1 species
CCCCUAGAUGUUCUGGGCCGCACGCGCGCUACACUGAACAGUUCAACAAGUCUUAACCUUGGCCGAUAGGUCUGGGUAAUCUUUGAACGCUGUUCGUGAUUGGGAUAGACCUUUGCAAUUAUGGGUCUUCAACGAGGAAUUCCUAGUAACGCAAGUCAUCAGCUUGCAUUGAUUACGUCCCUGCCCUUUGUACACACCGCCCGUCGCACCUACCGAUUGAAUGGUCCGGUGAAAUCUCGGGACGGCGGCUUGGUCGCUUGCGUCCGACUGCUGAAACUUGAUUAAACCAUAUCAUUUAGAGGAAGGUGAAGUCGUAACA